CUGAGCAGAGAACGGGAAGAGACAGAGUGGCUGUUGACAAGGACCGCCCGUAUGAAAAUGAACUGUUUUGGUUUUGAGAGAAGGUCCUGUUCUGUAGCCCAGACCGGUCUUGAACUUGUUGUAUAGGCUAAACUGACUUUGGAUUGGUGGUGGUCUUCUUGCCAUCCUCCAACUGCUGACAUUCCAAGCAAGUGUUCCCAUCAUCUGCCAUGCCAGAUAAAAUCCCCUGUGCAGUGCUGGGAUCACUCCAGGACGAGAAGAAGAUGGAGCAGGUUGUGCCUGGGGCUGGAUUCUAAGCACUGACUAGGGAAGAUUGUAAGGAACCUAAAGUGGAUAAGGGAGGACUGCAGUAAGGGACUUGUCACCUGUGUAUAUUUAAUCAUUUUGCCCUGGCUCAGCAAGUCAUCCCUCCGUCCCCAUCCGAUCCUCUGGUUUGGGGCAUUGCCUUAUGAAGGUGUACGGUUUCACGCAUCACAACUCUCCUCCAUGACAAUAAAUGCUUUAAAACAUGGACUGCCUCUUCUCAUCAGGAUCCGCAGGGCUGGAGCAAUGGAGCAGGUCUUCCUCUAAAGAGCUGUGUCUAAUCUCACACAGGACGACUCCUUGUGCUCUCAGCCACAGUUUCCAUCGAGUCAAGCUGUCUGCCCAAGCAAGCCAAAGACUCUCGUCCCCGUGGGACACAGCCCGACGCCCACAGGGUGCGCAGUCAAAACUUCCUGCAACCCGCCUCACCUAGUAGCCCAAGCCCUGGGCCAGACGCAGGACACCAUUUUAACCCACUGGACCUCAGAUGGACUAAUCACACCUCCAUCCAUCCAUCCGUCCAUCCAUCCAUCUGUCCAUCCGUUCUUCCUUCCUCAUCAGGCACCAGUUCUGUGAGGAUGGGGAUUCAGCGCCAAGUCACUGUUAGAAGCAUCAAAGCAUCUGGGAGUAACAAAUGUCAGUUGCAUGUGCAUGUGUCAGUAGGCACUCGUGAGUGCAGAAGAAGGUGCCAGAGCUCUUGGAACUG